rnacentral:rRNA from 1 species
AAUCAACGCUGGCGGCGUGCCUCAGACAUGCAAGUCGAACGAUUAAAGCUCUCUUCGGAGAGUGCAUAAAGUGGCGCACGGGUGAGUAACACGUAAGUAAUCUACCCUCGAGUGGGGAAUAACGUCCGGAAACGGACGCUAAUACCGCAUAAUGCAGCGGCACCGCAAGGUGACAGUUGUUAAAGAUUUAUCGCUUGAGGAGGAGCUUGCGGCAGAUUAGCAGUUGGUAAGGUAAUGGCUUACCAAGGCUACGAUCUGUAACCGGUCUAAGAGGACGGUCGGUCACACUGACACUGAAUAACGGGUCAGACUCCUACGGGAGGCAGCAGUCGGGAAUUUUGGGCAAUGGGGGAAACCCUGACCCAGCAACGCCGCGUGAAGGAUGAAGUAUUUCGGUAUGUAAACUUCGAAAGAAUAGGAAGAAUAAAUGACGGUACUAUUUAUAAGGUCCGGCUAACUACGUGCCAGCCGCCGCUGUAAU